GGGGCUGUAGCGCAGUUGGGAGCGCAUUUGACUGGCAGUCAAAAGGUCGAGGGUUCGAAUCCCUCCAGCUCCA
rnacentral:tRNA from 1 species